rnacentral:hammerhead_ribozyme from 1 species
AUCCAGCUGACGAGUCCUAAAUAGGACGAAACGUGCAUCAUGCUAGAU